UACGUAGGGGGCAAGCGUUGUCCGGAUUUAUUGGGCGUAAAGAGCGUGUAGGCGGCCAAGCAGGUCCGCUGUGAAAACUCGAGGCUCAACCUCGAGACGUCGGUGGAAACCGUUAGGCUAGAGUCCGGAAGAGGAGAGUGGAAUUCCCGGUGUAGCGGUGAAAUGCGCAGAUAUCGGGAAGAACACCCGUGGCGAAGGCGGCUCUCUGGGACGGUACUGACGCUGAGACGCGAAAGCGUGGGGAGCGAACAGG
rnacentral:rRNA from 1 species